rnacentral:rRNA from 1 species
UGGCUCAGAGUGAACGCUGGCGGCGUGCCUAAUACAUGCAAGUCGAACGAUGAAGCUUCUAGCUUGCUAGAAGUGGAUUAGUGGCGCACGGGUGAGUAAGGUAUAGUUAAUCUGCCCUACACAAGAGGACAACAGUUGGAAACGACUGCUAAUACUCUAUACUCCUGCUUAACACAAGUUGAGUAGGGAAAGUUUUUCGGUGUAGGAUGAGACUAUAUAGUAUCAGCUAGUUGGUAAGGUAAUGGCUUACCAAGGCUAUGACGCUUAACUGGUCUGAGAGGAUGAUCAGUCACACUGGAACUGAGACACGGUCCAGACUCCUACGGGAGGCAGCAGUAGGGAAUAUUGCGCAAUGGGGGAAACCCUGACGCAGCAACGCCGCGUGGAGGAUGACACUUUUCGGAGCGUAAACUCCUUUUCUUAGGGAAGAAUUCUGACGGUACCUAAGGAAUAAGCACCGGCUAACUCCGUGCCAGCAGCCGCGGUAAUACGGAGGGUGCAAGCGUUACUCGGAAUCACUGGGCGUAAAGGGCGCGUAGGCGGAUUAUCAAGUCUCUUGUGAAAUCUAAUGGCUUAACCAUUAAAC